rnacentral:rRNA from 1 species
UCCUUUGAUUUUGAGGAAGGUUUAAAGCUAGCUGCACUUAUAAUACAUGCUAGUCAGCAAUUCAAAAAGAAUAGCGGCGAACAGGUGAGUAAAGUCCAUAUUUUACCCAUACGAAGGGAUAAAAAUAUCUAUAUUUUGGAAAGAUAGGGACUCGUAUUAGACAGGAAUCUUCCGUCUAUGAUGCGUAGCCGAGAGGUCACAGUGAUACUGAUAAUAAGGAUUACGGUUCGAAUUGAACCACAGCAGUAGAGAAUAUUGGGCAAUUAACGAAAGUUGGACCCAGAGAUGUAGCGAAAAAAGACCGUCAAAAAGACGUGCCAGCAGACGCGGUGAAACGUCUGGUCUAAGUUUUAAUCAGAAAUCAGGCGUAAAGUGUGAAGAGAGUAAUAAUAGAAAGAAAGAAAGGUAAUUGGAACUUUUAGGUAUUGGUGAAAUGAUUCAAUCUAAAAAGGAACACCGAAGACGAAGGUAAAUUACCACAAGAUUCUGUAGCUUUAUUCACGAAAACAUAGGGAACAAACAGGAUUAGAUACCCUGGUAGUCUAUUGUUGUAAAACCUGAUCUAACGGGGGGGACCCCCACUGAUAACUCGAUAAGAUUCCGCCUGAAUAGUACGAUCGCAAGGUUGAAAUUCAAAAAAUUUGGCGGUUCACUAAUCCAAUUAGAGGAGCGUGUCAUUUAAUGCGAUGAUCCGCGUUUAACCUUACCUGAACUUGUAUUUUUGUUUUUUUUCCCUCUUUUUCUUCCCCUUGGGUUACAAUUACAUUAACAGGUAUCGCACGGCCGUCGUCAGUUUGUGUUGUGAGGCAUUUUCAACGAACUUAACCCCCAUUUGAAAAAAUAAGGGAUGACGUCAGGUCCUCAUGGUCCUUAUGUUCUGGGCUUGGGAUAUUUUUCCCUUUUUAUGCGCUACAUUCUUUUUAAUAUCAAUUUUAUUAACUAAAAAGUUCGGAUAAGUAUCUGAAAUGAUAUUUAUAAGUUGGAUUUAAUAGUAAUCGUAAAGUAGAGCGUUACGGUGAAUAUGGCUCUAGUGUUCGUACAAAUCGCCCGUCAACUCUACCAAGUAAGAAAUAUGUAACGAAACACCUUCUUUUUUUUGGUGGUCUAUAAAAAGAUGGACUUUGUUUAUGUCCCCAGAACUGGUGGAGUUAUUGUGAAUAUUUUUAUUAGGUUGAGUAAGUCGUAACAAAGCAAGAGUACUGGAAAGUGUUCUUG